ACGUAGGGAGCAAGCGUUAUCCGGAUUUACUGGGUGUAAAGGGCGUGUAGGCGGGCUUGUAAGUUGGAAGUGAAAUCUCGGGGCUUAACCCCGAAACUGCUUUCAAAACUGCGAGUCUUGAGUGAUGGAGAGGCAGGCGGAAUUCCCAGUGUAGCGGUGAAAUGCGUAGAUAUUGGGAGGAACACCAGUGGCGAAGGCGGCCUGCUGGACAUUAACUGACGCUGAGGCGCGAAAGCGUGGGGAGCAAACAG
rnacentral:rRNA from 1 species